rnacentral:lncRNA from 1 species
UCGACAAGCACAGUCGCAUUUUGCAGCAAGCAUGGGUUGAAGACCUAUUCUACCCCGGAUCUUCACUGGUCUAUUUCUGUUAGUGUAUACACGCCCGGGUAUGACGUCAGCUGACAUAGCGGAGUUAUGUCAACAGCCAUGUAGUUCCUUGUGCUCGGUGUGUCUGUUAUCCUCGCUUUUGGGGUCGUCAGCAGCGAACGGUGCAGCGGCAGUGACGCCAGCACCUGCUCCCGAGAGAAGUGCGACACCAACUACCAUGCGUCAAUGACGAGUGCACCUGCCUCGUCUCUGCCUGCUUCACCGGCCAAGCUGUUAUCUACAGCGAGACCUGCAGGGAUCAGAACGACUGUAAUCACGUGACAUGUGACAGUUCCUUAAAGUUGGGCUGCUCUCAUGGAGAAUGUACCUGCCUGACUUGCGCCACUGCUGGUUCCUGCGCUCAAGUGGAGGAAAAUAACAUUCAUCUAAUACUUACCGCCGCUUUUUGUAAACUAUAAAGAAGAACCAUACAUUGUGAUUGAUUUGUGUUUCCCGAAACCACCGGGUUUUAAAGAAAUAUAAUAGGUUUGGAGUAGGUUAAAUGUGGAAAAUGUCUGACAAGUAUGGCAUCAUGAUAUAUGCGAGUGGGAUAGCUACUGUUUGGUGAUCAAAUUUAAUUCUUAGUGUUGUUUCUACUAAGAUGGGUUUUUGAUAAUAAGAGCUCACCUGGAAAGAUAUUCACCAGAUUAUACUAUCAGCAAAGACAGAAACUUAAAACAAGUUGCUGUAUGCAUCGACAUUCAAAUAUUUUGAAUUAUUUUCUGCAUUAAUAGCCAGGAAAUAAAAACGUCAACGCUAGAGAAUAAUCACUCUCGAUUAUCCCACUAAACAGAUACCACUGGGUGUAAAAAGCAAACUAGUGGAAUAUUUUAAUAAAAAUGGAUCACUGAAAUCAUGGAUGACACCAGGUGUUCGCGAAAAGGACAAGCCAGUCCUGCCCUAUCAGAAGCAUCCGCCACAAUUUGCAAAAAGGUAUGUAUUUGUUGCCUGACACUCCACAGCCAUUCCCCUGUCAUGCAAUGCGUCAUGUAAACAAACCAGACUAUCAAGUGAAGGUCAGAAAUCCAGUCACACGAUAGAGCAUUUACUGAUUUUGUUGAAACCAAAAAAAAUAUUUUAAUAUAUUGUUAAAAAGAUUCUUGAAUAAAAUUCAAAAACAGGAAGCAACAAUUUCAUGUACGCUCUGACAUGGACUGUAAUAUAUUAUUAAUGUUAUUAUACGCCAAGGAGUGUCAUGUACAACAUAUUGGACAAACAGAGUGCUUGAGAGACAGAAUAGGCGUCCAUAAACAGAUAAAGGACCCCAUGCAAGGUUCAUCCCCUUAAGCGCUCGACAAAUGCGCAGCAGGAAAAGAAAUAGAAUUUAAGAUAUACCCUUUCUGUAAAAUGAAUACUGCUGAUGCCCAGCAGUGUAAAGAUAAAAAACUGUUUUCAUUAAAAGGUUGUGCCCAUCUUUAAAUAAGUAGCGCAUGGAAUAUGAACUAUAUUUGUAUUUAUUGUGAAAGUUACCACUGUCAUUGUAAAGACGCAGUCUUAUAACUAUAAUCACUUCUCCCUGAAGAUACAAUUGAAAGUGAGGUGAAAUGGGCUUUAACGUCGCGUCCAAGAUUGCACUUAUAUAGCGAGGGGGGUGUACGUGUGUGUGUUUGUGUGGCUGCUUGUACUAGUCCGGACUGAUGCCGAUUUAU